rnacentral:rRNA from 1 species
GAUGAACGCUGGCGGCGUGCCUAAUACAUGCAAGUCGAACGGACGGACGAUGAGCUUGCUUCGCUGAUGUUAGCGGCGCACGGGUGAGUAACACGUGUAUAACCUACCUAUAAGACUGGUAUAACUUCGGGAAUGCGGAGCUAAUACCGUAUGAUAUUUUGAACCGCGUGGUUCAAAAGUGAGAGACGGUCUUGCGGUCACGUAUAGAGGGAUCCGCGCUGCAUUAGCUAGUUGGGCAGUUAACGGGUUACCAAGGCAACGAGGCAUAGCCGACGUGAGUGGCUGAUAGGCGACAUGGGAGCGGAGCCACGGUCAAGAGUACUAAGGGAGGGAGCAGUAGGGAAUCUUACGCAAUAGGGGGAAGUAUUGCGGAGUAACGCCGAGUGAGUGAUGAAGGUGUUCGGAUCGUAAUACUCUGUUAUGAGGUAAGAACAGAUGUGUAAGUAAAUGUGGACAUCUUGACGGUAAUUAAUAAGAAAGCCACGGCUAACUACGUG